rnacentral:lncRNA from 1 species
UGGAAUGCCAUUCUUCAACAAGCUGCUUGAAUUGCUCUUGCAUCAUAGCUGUUACUUUAAAGAAGUUGUUUACCAAAUCAGGAGAAGGGAUGAAAUCGAGACGCUCACAUCCUUCAGGCAAGUUGUUCUACACAGCUUGAAAUUUUAUCAAACGGAUGUCUAUUUCGUUACCCAAAUGCUUUUUCUUUCAACAGCUUUGGAGAAAACUGAUUCAUUGAGAUUAUGGUGGCCUUAACACCGCGUGAAGCCACGAGUUUAGCCAUGUCAAGUGUAGGGAUCAUGUGGCCAUGAGCCAUCAAGGGAAAGAAGAAAAAAUGAAGUUGACUCAUGCCUUCAAUUUUUUUGUUUUGUUUGCAACGAGCCAAGUUUUUUUCAGUUGUAAUAUUCUAAGGACUGCAUAAUAUAUGACUUAUUAUAGACUUGUUGAAGCUGUGUACGAUUAACUUUCCCUUAGUAAAAGAAGUUUCUCAAUCAUUAUUGCUGAAGUAGAGUGCAUUAUCUUACACCAUAGAUUGACUGAAGUACAGUAUACACACCCAACUUUACUUAAUGUCAAUUCAAUAUUUGCAUAUUACAAGGCUUACUGCCUUUGAGAAUGACUUCUGAUUUCAAAUUGUCAGCCACACUUGAGCUAGAUUGUUGUGCAACUCCAUUCUCACCACUCAACUUCACCAUAUUUCUCACUAAAGAAUUGCACUGAACCAUACACUGUGGUAGCUCCUGUGAGCAAAUGACUUCUUAUCUCUGAGUUCGUCCCUAAUGUAUUUUAUGAAUGUUUUAACAGUUUGAUGAUCAAGAAUCACUGAAUCAGUGAUUGGACUAUAACCUCUGAUUGACUCGGGAUUAUUUUUUCCUUUUUGUCAACAGCCUGUGAAAACGAUAGGAUUGAAUUCUCUGACCAAGUUCCAGUGGGAUUUGAAGCAAGAAAGCCAAGGGAAUUUCGGCCGCCACCGCUCCUAUAUAAAACACCACAUUGAUGGUAUUGAACUCAUGCUAUUUGAGUAAUUCAAUCUAUCAGCGAAAGAACUUGUUUAUUUAAGAAAAGAGAAUUAUUUAUUUUUAUACUUUAUCCUUAGCAUUUAUUAUUUAUUUUAAAACCAUUUUUCAAGAACCAAUAUUAAAUACUCC